UCUUCGGGAUAGGUAGUAGUUAAGGUGAUGGCUUAACUAGCCAAAAACUCUCGUAGUCGAAGCUGAAAGGUUGAUCGACCACAUUGGGUCUGAAAAAACCCCAAUGCAAGUUAGUACAGCAGUGAGGAAUCUUGGUCAAUGGCCUAACGGCUGAACUGGCAACUUGGAGAAGUGGCAAGUCUUAUUUUGAUUAUAUUACAAUAUAUAAUCUAUAAGAUUGUAUUAAAAUUGAAUAAAGCUUUGUUUAUAUAUUGAUAAUGACAGUAUAUAUAUCGUGUCUUGACUAAUUACGUGCCAGCAGUCGCGGUAAUACGUAAGAGACUAGUGUUAUUCAUCUUGAUUAGGUUUAAAGGGUACCUAGACGGUCAAUAUAUCUUCUAAAAUGUUAGUACUUGACUAGAGUUUGAUAUAAGAGGGCAGUACUUGAGGAGGAGAGAUGAAAUUCUAUUAUACCAAAGGGACUCGGUAAAGGCGAAGGCAGCCCUCUAUGUAAAAACUGACGUUGAAGGACGAAGGCACAGAGCACAAACAGGAUUAGAUACCCAAGUAGUCUUUGCAGUAAAUGAUGAAUGCCAUAGGUUUAGAUU
rnacentral:rRNA from 1 species